rnacentral:lncRNA from 1 species
CUCUAAUGGAUUUUGAUGAAUACAAAACACUAGAGCAUAAUUCCCUUUAUCUUAACAAGUUAUUUGAGGAUUUCAGUUGGUUAAUUAAGAAUAUUGUUAAGAAAUGUCUAGGCAAGUUCCCAUGAUUUUUAAGAACUUAUUGAAGAAUUUUUGAGAUGAAAGAAAAAGUUCAGGGACAGCCGAGACGUCUCCGGGUUGUCUCCGAG